GACGAACGCUGGCGGCGUGCUUAACACAUGCAAGUCGAACGGUGAUGCUCCAGCUUGCUGGCGUGGAUCAGUGGCGAACGGGUGAGUAACACGUGAGCAACCUGCCCCAGACUCUGGAAUAAGCGCUGGAAACGGCGUCUAAUACUGGAUACGACACUGGCCCGCAUGGGCAUGGUUUGGAAAGUUUUUCGGUUUGGGAUGGGCUCGCGGCCUAUCAGCUUGUUGGUGAGGUAAUGGCUCACCAAGGCGACGACGGGUAGCCGGCCUGAGAGGGCGACCGGCCACACUGGGACUGAGACACGGCCCAGACUCCUACGGGAGGCAGCAGUGGGGAAUAUUGCACAAUGGGCGAAAGCCUGAUGCAGCGACGCCGCGUGAGGGAUGACGGCCUUCGGGUUGUAAACCUCUUUCAGCAGGGAAGAAGCGAAAGUGACGGUACCUGCAGAAGAAGCACCGGCUAACUACGUG
rnacentral:rRNA from 1 species